rnacentral:rRNA from 1 species
AACGAACGCUGGCGGCAGGCCUAACACAUGCAAGUCGAGCGCCCCGCAAGGGGAGCGGCGGACGGGUGAGUAACGCGUGGGAACGUACCCUUUGCUACGGAAUAGCCUCGGGAAACUGGGAGUAAUACCGUAUGUGUCCUUCGGGAGAAAGAUUUUUCGGCAAGGGAUCGGCCGGCGUUGGAUUAGGUAGUUGGUGGGGUUAUGGCCUACCAAGCCGACGAUCCAUAGCUGGUUUGAGAGGAUGAUCAGCCACACUGGGACUGGGCCCCGGCCCAGACGCCUACGGGAGGCAGCGGAGGGUACUCUUAGGCAAGGGGCGCGAUGCUGAUCCAGCCAGGCCGCGUGAGCGAUGAAGGCCUUAUGGUUGGAAUGCUCCUUCAGGGGGGAAGAUAAUGACGGUACCUCCAGAAGAAGCCCCGGCUAACUCCGUG